AGAGCGAACGCUGGCGGCAGGCUUAACACAUGCAAGUCGAACGGGCGUAGCAAUACGUCAGUGGCAGACGGGUGAGUAACGCGUGGGAACGUGCCUUUUGGUUCGGAACAACCCAGGGAAACUUGGGCUAAUACCGGAUAAGCCCUUACGGGGAAAGAUUUAUCGCCAAAAGAUCGGCCCGCGUCUGAUUAGCUAGUUGGUGAGGUAAUGGCUCACCAAGGCGACGAUCAGUAGCUGGUCUGAGAGGAUGAUCAGCCACACUGGGACUGAGACACGGCCCAGACUCCUACGGGAGGCAGCAGUGGGGAAUAUUGGACAAUGGGCGCAAGCCUGAUCCAGCCAUGCCGCGUGAGUGAUGAAGGCCUUAGGGUCUAAAGCUCUUUUGUGCGGGAAGAUAAUGACGGUACCGCAAGAAUAAGCCCGGCUAACUUCGCGCCAGCAGCCGC
rnacentral:rRNA from 1 species